AUUGAACGCUGGCGGCAGGCCUAACACAUGCAAGUCGAGCGGAGCGGCGGACGGGUGAGUAAUGCCUAGGAAUCUGCCUGGUAUUGGGGGAUAACGUCCGGUAACGGGCGCUAAUACCGCAUUCUAUCAGAUGAGCCUAGGUCGGAUUAGCUAGUUGGUGGGGUAAAGGCCUACCAAGGCGACGAUCCGUAACUGGUCUGAAAGGAUGAUCAGUCACACUGGAACUGAGACACGGGCCAGAAUCCUACGGAAGGCAGCAGUGGGGAAUAUUGGACAAGGGGCGAAAGCCUGAUCCAGCCAUGCCGCGUGUGUAAAGAAGGUAUUCGGAUUGUAAAGCACUUUAAGUUGGGAGGCGUUACCAACAGAAUAAGCACCGGCUAACUACGUGCCAGCAGCCGCGGUAAUAC
rnacentral:rRNA from 1 species